UGAUCGACACAAAGGAUCAGCUGAUUGAUGGAAAAUGGAACAAAAUUUUUUUUUAAUUAUUCGCAAUUGUUUUACUCUUUUUGUGGUUUAUUGUUUAAUUUUGUUUUUAUUCUAAUUAAUGAUUAUCGGUUUGAUUGGAUUCGUGUGGAUUCAGAUUUUGAGAUCAACUUGUUUCUCUCCUUUGGUUUAACUCGUUUCGUAUUCUGAUGAGUUGAAAUUUAAAUUUUCUAUAGGAAAUGAAUUUAUUAUUAGGUUUAUGAUUGGUGAUUAUCUCAUAAAUCUAAUUCAUGAGAUCAAUUGACUUUCUAAAUCUGACAUUCACUUGAUUCUUUUUUAUCUCUUCUAUCACUCGAUGAACCACUUGGAACCCUGGGCCCUGGAGAAGAGAUAGGAAACUGUGUUCUUCCAGUUGCUUCAAAGUUAAUUUUUCGGUGUAACUCGUUGUGAUGGAGAUGGAACUUGUUUAACCAAUUUCAUUCAUUUACUACUCACUGUUUGUUGUUAUUUUCUCUCUGUGUAUUUGUUUGUGUGUAUGUUGUCAACAAUUUCUGAUCUGAGAUUUUUCCCUCAUCUCGAUUUUUUUUUAUGAUUUUCUACCUUUUCUAAUUAGGGUUAAGCCUAAUCACCAUCGUAACUAACAAGUGGAAAUUGGAAAUUUAAAGAUAUUAAUACAAUCCAAUCCAAAUGAUUAAGCCGAUUUCUAUUGCUCCUGAAUUUUACAAUUUGGUUAUUUAUUGUUUAUAACAAGAUUAUCAUUUCAUCAUUUAAUUUAUGAUUUCAUAUUAAUAAUCAUAAAUGUAUGCUGAUUAUUAUGAAUUGGACAAUUAUCUACCUUAUUAUUGUUUUGGAUCAACAAAAACACCAAAUUAUCAAGAGAGAGAGAGAGAUACAAUCAAUCUAAUGAGAAAGAUGAUAAUUAAUGUUUCUACAUUUUCCAGUGAUGAUCACCUAGGUAAUUAUCGUACAGUUAUUAUGCAAAUGUAACAAAAUUAAUACUUUAAAUUGAUUGCUAUUAGUCAUCAUUAUUAAUUGAUUUAGAGAUUAACCAUAAUAUCCAUCCGAUGAAAAAAAAUUAAUCUAAUUGCUGAUUCACUAAUCCUGAUCAAGGUAGAUAAUUAAUUUUACAAAGACAAUGACCAACACUUUGUACCUUUCAUGGUCAAUUAUUUGAUUGUUUUGGUUACAAUAUCAUAAAUUGGUUGUAUCAUAAUAAUCAGUUAAUGACUAUAAGAUAUUUAGUUUCCUUUUAUAAUUAAAGUGUUCCUACCUUAAUGAUGAUCAUGAGUUGACUUCUUGAAUAUCAAUGAUUAGCCCAAAAUGAUUAUCAUGAUGAUUACCAGAUUAUGUUAAUUGUUGUUAAGGUCUAAAAGUUUUUUUUCAAUCAUUUUCAACCCAACAAUUAUCAACUAAUCAAUGUCAAUGUAUUAAAAAGCAUUAACAUGUAAUUAACGAGCCUAAUUACAUGUUAAUGUAACACCAAUAACAAUAUAUUUUUGCUUCAUCAUAAUCAAAAUCAAAUGAUAAAUUGUUAACCCAUAAAGAAAGAUGAAAAUUAAUCUAUUGAUUAUCUAGAAAUUAACUUGAUUAGCCCAAUUGAUCAACAAUUACCACACCUUUUUUAUUUGUAAUUUAAUGAACAGUAAAUAAGUUGUUAACUAACAGAUCAACAAUCAAGACCUUUAAUCAUGUUAAUCACCAUCAUCUUCAUACAUUUAAUAACGAGGAUAAGACAACUUUAAUCAUAUACUAAUCAUGAUAAUUUAUAAGUAAAAAAAAAUAAUUAGGUGUAAAUAAUCAACAACAAAUCAAAUUGGUUAAUUAAAACAAAUCCCAAUUACUGUUUAAUUUUCAUCACAAUUAAAUGAUUGAUUGUUGACUCUUGAUUAGCGUAAUCAAAUUUGAUUUUCAUCCUUGAUCCAAUUUCAUUUGAAUAUUUCGUUGAUUAUUAUGUCUAUUAAUCUAAUUGUCAUGUUGAUUAUUGGUAUUAAUUAUAAUAAUAAGAUGUUCACCUUGAUGGAAAUGAUUUUGAUUGAUUAAAUCAUUUCAUUUCCAUUGAAUUACUCAGCCUUUUAAUCAACAGAUUUAUCCUCAGAGAUUUUUGAUCAAUUUUCCUUUAAGCAAUUUAAUCAUCAUCAAACUAAUCAUCAACUAUCAAAGUUUAUAAAUGUACCAAUUUAAUUGAGUUAAUUAAAUUGACACUCAGAUGACAAUUAUGAUAAAUGAUCCCUUUGAAAAGGUAAUCAAAGUGUUGCUCCGUUAAUUGUUAUAAUUUACUUUGGUGUAUGUCGAUUGUGAUACAAUUUACCUUCUUAAUUUUUUUUCUACUUCCAUUAUUAUCUAUCAUUAUUAUCAAAUUAACAAUUAAAAACAAAUGUAAUUUGCUCUUAAUUAUUCAAAUUGUUGAUAAUAAUUAAGGAUCAACUCAUUUAAUUGAGUAAUCAUCUACAAAGUUAAUUGUAAUAAUGAUGAUUACAUAUCUCAUGAGACCUUCAAAAUAUUCACAAUUUAUGAUAAUAACUUUAUCAUUUACACAACAAUUAACCUGCAAUAAUUAGUAGAUGAUGUCUAUAGGUGAUUUAACAAGUCUACCGAUUGUAUUUCAUCAUUUAAUUGUGAAACUGAUGAUCCAAUUUGAAUUCACCAAUCAAUUUAUGAACAAUUUAUUUGAUUGAAACCUGGAAAAAACGAAAUAAAUUAGCAUUAAAUUUUGGAUAAUCAAUUUAAAUUAUGAUUGGAAUCAAAGUGAUCGCUAUCAAAGGCCAAAGAGAUCAACUUAAUCCUUGGAUCUUUUUUAUCCUUUUUAUUUUCAGAUAAAAAUGAAGAUGAUGAGGAUAAAUUGACCUAAUUUAAUUAGAUUGGUGAAGAAAUAAAAACAAAAAGAUAUAUAAAUGAGAUUGAUUAAUUUAUCUUUUCAGCAGAAACUUAUUUUCCUCCUCAGUUAAUGCGAUGAAGAGAAAGAGAAAUCUGUAAAUCUGAGUUAAUUCAAUUGGUUUCAUUCAUGUUGACACUUUGAGAUCCUGAUUGAGUUACGUUGAUGAUAAAUCACAAGAAUCAUGAUGAUGAUUAAAGAUGAAUGGAGAAGCCACAAAAUGAAAAGAAUGAAAAGUGACCUUCUUUUUUUAACUCAUAUUGUCCAAAGGAUAAAGAUGAAGAUGAAAGAGGUAAGAUUGAUGAGAGAGAAAGAGAUGAUGAUGAUGAUGAUGGCGAAUGUUGUUAUUGUGAAAGUUAUUUUCUUUUUCUUUCAUCAUCGUUUUCUUGUCCGAUGGAUAUGAAGUUUCCAGUUAUUCAAUAACAUUAUCAUCCUUUUUCAUCUUCAUCAUCAGUCGAGGUUAAAUUAAGUGUGAAAGGUAAAAGUUUAUCAUCUCAGCAUCAUAUUGAUUGUUAUCAUUGUUUUCGUCCUUAUGAAGAUGAAUGAAGAUGAAACUAGAGAGAGAGAGAGAGAGAGAGAGAGCUAUAAUUUGAUAAAUACUCUUAAAAUUUCCGGAUUUCCGGGUAUAACUUGAUUAACAGAAUCUCACAUAGAGACGAUGAUGAUUAAGAGAAGAUGAAAAGACUUUCUUUGUUUUCUUCUUCAUCUUCAUUUCUCACUCUGUUUCUCUCUCGUUCUCUAACUGAAUCUUUAAUUUACAUCAAAGAGUAGAGGUUUUUACUCUUUGAUUUACAUUAAAUCUUUUCAAACAUUUCACUUUCUUCUCAUUUCAUUUCAAUUCCAAACUACACUGAUAACAAUCAUCUUCAUGUUAUCAUCAUGAUGGUAUUUUCUUUUCUUCCCUCUACAUUAUUAAUACACUUUUCCUUUUUCAUGGCAACGUGAAUUUUAUCCGAUCCAUAUAAUGGUAAGAAUAAUAUCUCGCUUGACAAUAUAAUCAUUUUUCAUCAUCAUUUCAUGAUCACACUUGAAUUAUCAUCAAAUGGAAAUGAGAGAAACUGAAACAUUUUGAUGAUAAUGAUGAUGAUGAUGGUGAUAGAGAUGAAGAUAGUUGAAAAUAGUCACCAAAUGAAAGAGGGAGAGCAAAGAAACCAAAGAUGUAACCAACCUUGCGAAGAUGAUAUUCUUUUGGUAUCUUCCAAAAAGCAGCAACAAGCUUCUUACUGUUGUUGAUGAUGAUGAAAAAAGAUGAAGAUGAGAUAUUUGUGAAAGAAAAGGUCUAGAGAUUGAAUACCCUGAGGGCUAAAUGGAUAUUUCAAGUGUCACUAAACUAAUGCACCUGAAGAAGAAAAUCCCGAUGAGAGAGAAAAGGAAAUGAUUUCUCUUUAUUUUUCAUCACCAACUCACCUGAAGACAUGAGAAGAGAAAAUGAGAGAGAGAAACAAAUGAUUCAACCUGAGAUUGAUCUUAAUUUUCCAUCAUUCUCAUCAAAAUCAUCUUCAUCAUUAACUGAAUUAAAACACAUACACACAAAAGUGAUGCUUCAUCCAAGGUUAGAAUUACUUAAUUUAACUUGUAGGCCUAAAAACCGAGAAGAGGAAAAGAUUAAGAUCAAUUAGGAAAACACAAGGAGAGUAAGAGAUAAUCUUACAAACCAGAAUGAAUUAAUUACCAUAAAUCAAGCAACUAAUAGACAAGAGAAAAAAGCUCAACAUUAAAUUACGACAAUUAAAUUAAUUAGAAAACAAAUGAGAAAAAAUCAAACCACAGAAAAGAACUUGCAAAAAGUUGGAUUAUUAUUAAAGUGUAUCAAUAAGUUCUGAGUUCAUGCACCGAUUCCAUGAGAACUGUUCAUGAUUUCAGUCGAAUUUUUCAUUGUAAAAGUCCAAAUUUCGAAAUUCGAUUUCUCGACAACCAAAGUUAAUCUAUUGUUCAUUUUCGCAGCAGCUUAAGACUAAAGAUCUAUUUUCGUUUUGACUAUUUUAAAUUUCGAAAAAAAGUUCGAAGCUCAGUUCAGUUUCGAAAAAAAUGAUAAAUUUUCGCUCCUUUGUAGUGUUUAUCGACUUGGACUAAGUUCCAAAUUUUAUAACUAAUUAAUUGUUUAAUCUCAGUAAGACUCUGAAUUUUAAUUAGUCAGAAAAUUGGAUAAUUAUCGGUAUUGAUUUUCCCCGAAUGAUUGAACAAAGUGAACUUAUUGAUACCGUUAAUAUAUUUUCGCUCGUUAUUUUUUCGGUGUCAAUGGUUACCCUUUGUUUUUGGCUCUUCUCUCAACGUUUAUCACUUAAUCUUAGAUAAUCUUUGAGAAUUGUCAUUUUAAACAAUUAAUCACUUCACUUAAUUAACUUAAAACAACUCGGAACACCAGUUAACAUACAGAGAAGAUAAUUAUUCAACGAAAAGAAUUAACUAUGGAACAGAAAAUAUAUAACACAUACAAAAGAAUUCACUAGAAUAUAUUUAUGCAUAUUCUCAUCAUCUUCCACCCAAACAAUGCUGUUAAUAAUGUAAUGAUGAUAAUAAACUCUAAGCCUCAUGACAAAGAAUCGUGAAAAUGUUCAGUUUCCCUGGUAACAUCCACUGUGACUCUAUGACUGAAUAAUGAUGAUAAUUAAAGACUUUAGUGAAUAUUAUAUUUACCAUAGACAAGGCUUCUGUCUUCCACAUCCUUCUCAUCAUCAUCAUCAUCUUCAUCUUCUUCUCUCUCUCAUUCUAAUUAAGUUUCAUACUAACAAAAAUCAGUGAAUUCCCUUUCCAUGUAUCUUUCCUAAUUAAGUUAUGGAUAAAAAACAUGAGCCCAUGGAAUGAAUCAUUUCAAGUUUAUCCCAAUCACUGUUAAUUUUAUUAAUAACAAUUAACAGACGUUAUUAUUGGUUGAUUUAUUUUAAUUAUUAUAGUUUUUUAAUUCCUGCUAAUUAACCAUUAACGGGAAAACAAAUCAAAGUUUAUCCCAAUCAAUAAUUAUCAUUCAUUUUUAUUAUCAAACAAAAGCUUUCAACCCAAAUGGAUUGGUUUUCAUGAUUUUCAACAUGAAUCAAGUUAAUUAAUGUUGAACAAUUAAAAGCAAUUCAGUUUAAUCAUAAUUCUCAAUUGUUCCAUUGUAAUAAUCAAAAAUCAUCCAGUAAUUAACUGUGAAUUGUUGCAUGAUUGCAAUUUUAAAUUGCAUCCAUUUAACAAGGAUCAUUAAAAAAUAUCACAAUUUAUAUUGAUCUUUAUACAAUUAACGAUCAAUUUUCAUAAAUGAUUAACAUUAUGUACUAAUAAUUAAAAUUAUUUAAUUGCGUGAAAACAUUGAGACUUUAUAAUUACAUUUGAUGAAAUAAAUAUGAUUAAAG